rnacentral:rRNA from 1 species
AUUGAACGCUGGCGGCAUGCUUUACACAUGCAAGUCGAACGGUAACAGGCCGCCAGGUGCUGACGAGUGGCGAACGGGUGCGUAAUGCAUCGGAACGUGCCCAGUCGUGGGGGAUAACUACUCGAAAGAGUAGCUAAUACCGCAUACGAUCUAUGGAUGAAAGCGGGGGACCGUAAUGCCUCGCGCGAUUGGAGCGGCCGAUGUCAGAUUAGGUAGUUGGUGGGGUAAAGGCUCACCAAGCCAACGAUCUGUAGCUGGUCUGAGAGUACGACCCGCCACACUGGGACUGAGACACGGCCCAGACUCCUACGGGAGGCAGCAGUGGGGAAUUUUGGACAAUGGGCGCAAGCCUGAUCCAGCAAUGCCGCGUGCAGGAAGAAGGCCUUCGGGUUGUAAACUGCUUUUGUACGGGACGAAACGGCUCUGGUUAAUACCCGGGGCUAAUGACGGUACCGUAAGAGUAAGCACCGGCUAACUACGUG